rnacentral:rRNA from 1 species
GAUGAACGCUAGCGGCAGGCUUAAUACAUGCAAGUCGAGGGGCAGCAGGACUGUAGCAAUACAGUUGCUGGCGACCGGCAAACGGGUGCGGAACACGUACGCAACUUACCCAAAACUGGGGAAUAGCCCGGGGAAACCCGGAUUAAUACCUCGUAACAUAAUGAAGUGGCAUCACUUUAUUAUUAUAGCUCCGGCGGUUUUGGAUGGGCGUGCGCCUGAUUAGGUAGUUGGCGGGGUAACGGCCCACCAAGCCUACGAUCAGUAACUGGUGUGAGAGCACGACCAGUCACACGGGCACUGAGACACGGGCCCGACUCCGACGGGAGGAAGCAGUAAGGAAUAUUGGUCAAUGGACGCAAGUCUGAACCAGCCAUGCCGCGUGAAGGAUGAAGGUCCUCUGGAUUGUAAACUUCUUUUAUAUGGGAAGAAACCCACUUUUUCUUGAGUGGUUGACGGUACCAUAGGAAUAAGCACCGGCUAACUCCGUGCCAGCCGCCGCAGUAAGAC